GAUGAAGAACGCAGCGAAAUGCGAUAAGUAGUGUGAAUUGCAGAAUUCAGUGAAUCAUCGAAUCUUUGAACGCACAUUGCGCCCCUUGGUAUCCCGAGGGGCAUGCCUGUUCGAGCGUCAUUUCACCACUCAAGCCUGGCUUGGUGUUGGGCGACGUCCCCUUUGGGGACGCGCCUCGAAACGCUCGGCGGCGUGGCACCGGCUUUAAGCGUAGCAGAAUCUUUCGCUUUGGAAGUCGGGGCCCCGUCUGCCGGAAGACCUACUCGCAAGGUUGACCUCGGAUCAGGCAGGGAUACCCGCUGAACUUUAGCAUAUCAAUAAGCGGAGGA
rnacentral:misc_RNA from 1 species